GAGGUUUUGGAAUUUUAGUCAGAUGUUCGUACACCUUUUUUUUUUCAUACAAGGUAAACUAGUUUGCUCCAUAACACCCUUUUAUCUUUUCUUAUUAGACUUAAUAGCUAAUAAAAGAUCAUUUGCCAAAAUUGAAGCAGAUUCUUGAUUUCUAUUCUUUUGAUUUGAGACCAAAAUGAUGCCAAUGAAAAUAUACGGUAAAAGUCCGAGUCAGCCUUUCCCCGUCAUAUUCUAAAAAUUAAAUAUCUCGAAA
rnacentral:lncRNA from 1 species